rnacentral:lncRNA from 1 species
UCACGUAUCCUCCUUGCAGAUAAGUCAAGAUUGUUAAAGAGUGUCAUAGAUUAGCUAUGACUUGCACAGUUCUAGCCACAUGGGGGCUCUAAGACCACUAAUCACUUGAUUUUGUCAUCGGAAUACUUAUAGCCAAUCUGCUUCACACUUUUGAGGAUGGGAGAAAUGCUCACUAGCGUUGGCCCUUCGUUUCCUGCUUGAUAUAUAUACAUAUAUAAUUGCCGCUGCAAUUGAUAUAGAAGCUGAGAUAUAUA